CCGAAUCGUGAUGAUGAGUCAUGGCUCACCAAGGCUACGAUGGGUAGGGGUUCUUAGUGGAAGAUCCCCCACACUGGCACUGAGAUACGGGCCAGACUCCUACGGGAGGCAGCAGUAGGGAAUAUUGGUCAAUGGGCGAAAGCCUGAACCAGCCAUGCCGCGUGCAGGAUGACAGCUCUCUGAGUUGUAAACUGCUUUUGUACAGGAGCAAAACAAUCCCUGCGGGGGUUCUUGAGAGUACUGUAAGAAUAAGCACCGGCUAAUUCCGUGCCAGCAGCCGCGGUAAUACGGAAGGUGCAAGCGUUAUCCGGUUUUAUUGGGUUUAAAGGGUGCGUAGGCGGCUUAUUAAGUCAGUUGUGAAAUCCUAGUGCUUAACGCUAGAACUGCAAUUGAUACUAUUAGGCUUGAGUUAAGAAUAGGUA
rnacentral:rRNA from 1 species